GGAAAAGAAUUACAAAUAGCUUCUAGAAGUAAAAUAAAGAAUAAAUCUGACAAGUAAGACGAGCAAAAAGGUGUUCUUAGUGCGCUCUAUGUGGUCUUAUAUGUUGUGCGUCAUCCUUUUGUGCUGGUGUGUGUGUGCGUGUGCACGCAGAGGAUCCUCAAGAAUGUUGUGUAUAUGUGUGCGUGAGUGAGAUGUGUGUCCUAUGGAAGAAAUCAGUAAUGGAGAAUGUUCAGGAGGCUGUUGAGCAAUAA